rnacentral:misc_RNA from 1 species
ACAAAAAACAUCGGGGCUCGUUGGCAGAGCAACCGAAGGGCAACGAAACAAAACACAGCCGAGGGGUUGUUUUUGGCAAACAAAACAAAACAGUCGGAUCGACCUCGAACGCCGAGCGACCAGGUCGCUAGGCCGAGGGAUCCGGCGAACUCGCUGGGUUUUCUCAGCGCCUUGGGCCGUCGAAGCCUCCUCCUCCGAGGGGCUCCGUCGCCUUAAGUACAGACGAGCUCGACCGCGACCCCGGGCUUCCGGAACGGUGGGUCGCUUCAUUCAAAAAGCACUCGGCAUCGUCGGGAGGUUGGCCUCGACGUUAUAAGCACCCGAGUAUGUACUUUCUCACGUAUACCAACAGAUUUCUUACACAAAACCCGGGGGCGGAGUCGGGAGGCUCUGCUUUUUUCGGGGGUCGGCCGGCGUACCUCGUUGCGCGCCGCGACCGACCGAAUUGGCAUCUUACUUUGUUGA